UCCCUGGCAGUCCAGUGGUUAGGACUUAGCGCUUUCACUGCUGAGGGCCCAGGUUCGACCCCUGGUUAGGGAA